rnacentral:tRNA from 2 species
UCGGAUAUGGUGUAGUGGCUAACAUACGACGCUCUCAAUAACGAGUUUCCGUCGUGCCCGGGGUUCGAUUCCCCGUAUCCGAG